rnacentral:rRNA from 1 species
CACCAAACUUUAUCACAAUCGCGGGAAACCGUGAUAAGGGGAUCUCGAGUGCCAGCAUAUAAUUGUUGGCUGUCCAGAUGCUUAAAAAGCAUUUGUUAGCAAGGGCCGGGCAAGACCGGUGCCAGCCGCCGCGGUAACACCGGCGGCCCGAGUGGUAACCGUUAUUAUUGGGUCUAAAGGGUCUGUAGCCGGCCAAGUAAGUCCUUUGGGAAAUCUGGUAGCUCAACUAUCAGGCUGCCAGGGGAUACUGCUUGGUUUGGGACCGGGAGAGGGGAGAGGAACCUCAGGGGUAGGGGUGAAAUCUUGUGAUCCUUGAGGGACCACCAGUGGCGAAGGCGUCUCACCAGAACGGGUCCGACGGUAAGGGACGAAAGUUAGGGGCACGAACCGGAUUAGAUACCCGGGUAGUCCUAGCCGUAAACGAUGCUCGCUAGGUGUCAGUCACGGGGCGACCGUAAUUGGGGCCGUAGGGAAGCCGUGAAGCGAGCCACCUGGAAAGAAUGGCCGCAAGGUGGAAACUUAAAGGAAUUGGGGGGGGAAAGGGCGAAUUCGUUUAAACCUGCGGGACUAGUCCCUUUAGUGAGGGUUAUUUCUGAGCUUGGGGAAAUCUUGGUCAUAGUUGUUUUCCGGA